AGUUUGAUCCUGGCUCAGAUUGAACGCUGGCGGCAUGCCUUACACAUGCAAGUCGAACGGCAGCGGACCUUCGGGUGCCGGCGAGUGGCGAACGGGUGAGUAAUGCAUCGGAACGUGCCAUUGAGUGGGGGAUAACGUAGCGAAAGUUACGCUAAUACCGCAUAUUCUGUGAGCAGGAAAGCAGGGGACCGCAAGGCCUUGCGCUCUUUGAGCGGCCGAUGUCAGAUUAGCUAGUUGGUGAGGUAAAGGCUUACCAAGGCGACGAUCUGUAGCGGGUCUGAGAGGAUGAUCCGCCACACUGGAACUGAGACACGGUCCAGACUCCUACGGGAGGCAGCAGUGGGGAAUUUUGGACAAUGGGCGCAAGCCUGAUCCAGCCAUGCCGCGUGAGUGAAGAAGGCCUUCGGGUUGUAAAGCUCUUUCGGCCGGGAAGAAAUCGCAUGGGUUAAUACCCUGCGUGGAUGACGGUACCGGAAUAAGAAGCACCGGCUAACUACGUG
rnacentral:rRNA from 1 species